rnacentral:rRNA from 1 species
AAGAAACCAACAGGGAUUGCCUCAGUAACGGCGAGUGAAGCGGCAACAGCUCAAAUUUUAAAGCUGGCGUCUUUGGCGUCCGCGUUGUAAUUUGGAGAGGCAUCUUCGGUUUGGGCGCCAGCCUAUGUUCCUUGGAACAGGACGUCACAGAGGGUGAGAAUCCCGUGCCUGGCUGGCUGUCCCUUUCCAUGUGAAGUGCCUUCGACGAGUCGAGUUGUUUGGGAAUGCAGCUCAAAAUGGGUGGUAAAUUUCAUCUAAAGCUAAAUAUUGGCGGGAGACCGAUAGCGCACAAGUAGAGUGAUCGAAAGAUGAAAAGCACUUUGAAAAUAGAGUUAAAAAGUACGUGAAAUUGUUGAAAGGGAAGCGCUUGAGACCAGACUCGGCCGGAGAUGAUCAGCCGUCCUUCUGGGCGGUGCACUCGUUUCCGGCCGGGCCAGCAUCGGUUGAGACGGCGGGAUAAAGGCCCGGGGAAUGUGGCUCCUUUCGGGGAGUGUUAUAGCCCCGGGCGCAAUGCCGCCAGCCUCGACCGAGGACCGCGCUUAAUUGCUAGGAUGCUGGCGUAAUGGUCUUCAGCGACCCGU